CUCUUGAUUUUUUUAACAGUCAAUUGGAGACUUGAUGAAUGGGUUAGACCGGAACAACUUGACCUUGAUUCAGUAGAAAAUGAUGUAGAUGAAAAGGUGGAAGACAAGGUUACAGGUUUGAAAAUGACACGCCACCAGAAACGUAAGAUUAAUGAGACUCAUGUUGAGAUGGGAGAGAAAUUCCCACAUACCAUAUAAGGAGUCAAAAUUGGCCAUGCUUCUUCAAUAUUCCUUAAGUGGUCAUAGAAGAGU